UGCUCAUGAAUAUGUAAAGCGUGUGAGUCUAUGGUGGUAAAUACAGGCAUGUCUACAACAAUAACAGCAUAUGAUCAGUGUCCUCUCCACAGUCACUGUGCACACAGAUCCUCACCAUGGGAUGGAGCUGGAUCAUCCUCUUCCUGGUGACAGCAGCUACAGGUGUCCACACACAGGUCCAGCUGCUGCAAUCCGAGUCUGAGCUGGUGAAGCCUGGAGCCUCAGUGAAGCUGUCCUGCAAGACUUCAGGAUACACCUUCACUGACUAUUAUAUGCACUGGGUGAAGCAGAAGCCUGGACAGGGCCUGGAGUGGAUUGGAUUGAUUAAUCCUAAUAAUGACGGUACUAACUACAAUCAGAAGUUCCAGGGCAAGGCCACACUCACUGCAGACAAAUCCUCCAGCACAGCCUACAUGGAGCUCAACAGCCUGACAUCUGAUGACUCUGCCAUCUAUUACUGUGCAAGAGACACAGUGUUGCAACCACAUCCUGAGUGUGUCAGAAACCCUGCAGGAGGAGGAAACAGCCCUUGGACUGAGAGGACAGAGAGGAUCAGCCUGGAGAUUUGCCCAUAAAUCAUCACACUGAGU